UACGAUCCCUGAAGUUAAGCACUGUAGAACUAGAUCAGUACUGAGAUGGGUGAUCGCUUGGGAAUGCCAAGUGCUGUAAG